rnacentral:rRNA from 1 species
CAGUAGCCGCGGUAAUACGUAGGUGGCAAGCGUUGUUCGGAAUUAUUGGGCGUAAAGGGCUCGCAGGCGGUUUCUUAAGUCUGAUGUGAAAGCCCCCGGCUCAACCGGGGAGGGUCAUUGGAAACUGGGAAACUUGAGUGCAGAAGAGGAGAGUGGAAUUCCACGUGUAGCGGUGAAAUGCGUAGAGAUGUGGAGGAACACCAGUGGCGAAGGCGACUCUCUGGUCUGUAACUGACGCUGAGGAGCGAAAGCGUGGGGAGCGAACAGGAUUAGAUACCCCAGUAGUCCCUGUCUCUUAUAC